GAAGGAUCUCAAAUUCAAGAAGGAAAACACAUUCAAUUUACAGAUGAAAAGAGUACAAAGACUAGGGGUAACAUUUUAAGAUGUUAUUUUUAAAAUAUAUAUUUAGCAAGUGAAAUAAAUGAUUUCACACAACCAGGAAUAAACAGAUGCACUAUUUCAAAAAACUUUGAAAACAGCUCGUUUACAACAGGCUUUAAUUUCUUCAGGGCUUAUACCGUUCCACAGUGCUUUUAAAACUAUUGUUUAUGACUGAAAGCUCACAGAGGUAAUAUGCUGUAUGAAGGGAAGUUAGACCUAGCCCAAUGUCCUAAAGAAAAAAAAAUAAAAUAACCCAUUAAGUUGCACAAGAUGAACAUCUUAAAACCUGCUUUGACAGUAAAGCCUAAAUACUGUUUUAUAUAUUUUAUGUCUACUUCUUACUUUUUUAAAUACCUGAGAUGCCAUUAAAGUAGAUAUCUAAAUAGAGCACUAUUAGAAAGUCUGCAAUUGAGCAGAACUGCUACGACUACCAGUAAAAAGAGCCAAAAUAACAAACCAAAAAGACCAUCACACACAACUGGUCAGCCACAAAAAUGAAGUACACACACUUCCUGGAAAACUUGCUUCCAAUGUGCAAGACAUACAGAGAAUGUGAUAGCAGCGUCAGGUAUCUCCUACUACUGCUGUAACCUUGACCAGAGGCCUCAUUCAGGAUACAGAAAUGCAAAGUUCCCGCGGCCAAGAGCCCUGCUCCACCACUGAGUCACAGGCAGACCAAGACUGACAUGAGCAGCCAACUGCAGGCACACAUCAGCUACUCAGAUAACCUCUGCCUGCCUUUUCAAGGAAAAGUUGAGUCCUGGAUCAAGAGAUAACUGACAGAAAGGCACUUCCUCAUUGCUUGAAGUAUAUCACACACUACCAGACACCAAAAGCCCUACUGAGACUGCAGAAAGUAAUCACUCUACCUUAACAAAGGAAAGCACUAUAAACACGUUUCAGAAUUCCCAUUCUCCUACUCUCUUUUUUCCAAUCUAAGCCAGCACAUCUGUUCGUAUCUGCGUAAUAACAGUUUGUCAGUACAGAUAUAACCUGUUCCUUCAUUCUCCUAAUACACAGUGAUAUCUGUUAGAAUUCCCCUCAUCCUGUUUUUGUUAUCUAAGAAAAACAGAUUUUUGCUUAAAUGUUGGAGUCUCUGAAUGGUUCAGUUACUGAGGCUAUGGCUAACCUGAAUGCUAGUCAUCAGGAAAACCCCUGCUUGUGUUGCCAAAAACCAGCUCGGAAGUACGCGCUGUUCCUUUCAGGGUUUGCUGCACUUGUAUAUAGAAAACUGAGCACUUUCUCUCUAGGCAGCUUGAUAUAUAUCUGCUAUCCCAUAGCAGCCCCACUCUGCAGGCUUAGGCUGUGGCAAAUACUAUGCUGAGCAAGCCUGGAUUUUGGCAGGAUCAGCGCCCUGCAGCACGUCAGCAGCUGGACUGUAAGUCUUAUUGCCCCAGCACCCAGUGGGUGAGGUCAGCCAUCUUCCCAAGUCCCGCCUGUUGUGGCCCAGUGCCAGGGCCGCCCACGUCUAAGUGCCAUGAAGCCCCAGCAGAGCUGCACAUCCGAAUCCCAAGAACACAGGCACACAACCAACAGCUCUGUGAUCACGUGCUGGCAGUUAUUUUAGGUAUAUGGAUCGCUUUUUGGGGGGUAGGGCUUAGGAGAGCACUGCUGCUUUCACCUCACGUGCACAUUUUUAAACUCUAGUGCAAGGAGUGUACAGAACUGCGUGCAAUUCUCAACGCUCACAAACAAAGUGCACGUUCUUGAGACGCGAGCCAUUACAUUAGAUGGCUCUCUCCGGUUGUAUCAAACUGUCCCAGAUGGAAGUGAAACUCACAGAUCUGACUCUUUCUCCCAUGUUUAUUUAUUUGCCACGGCCCCACCUGCUCAGAGGCCAGGCCAGACGCUGCUCGCGGGUCUGAGCUGGAAGCAACACGCACCCGCGGCCACAGACUCGGCCUCUAGGCCUUGCACGGACUCCGUGCCCUGCACUCCCCACCCUUGACUUAAAUUCCCAGUUUUUCCUGCUUUUUUCGACCACAUCCACUUACAACGCACGCUACAACAGGUCUGUUCCGUGCACAUGCUGUUCCUUCACAAAACACGCAAGCACCUGCUCUGCCGAAGGCUGCUACCGGCCGUUCCGCUGGGAAGGCCCGCAGCCAGCUGCUACCACCUAACGAGGAGCGCACCGUAACCCUGACCGGACAGCGGGCGGCGGCUGCAGCUGGCCCAGCGCUGCCCCGCACGCGGCCAACCCCACCGCCAACGCGCGGCCCCCCCGCGCCCCAAGCCUCCGUGCUGGGAAAGCACCGCGAGGCCCCGAGCCGGGGGGCUGGGAACAGCCUCCAUAUUUUCUCAGCCGCCGCGGGCGGGACGAGUUACCUGAGAGUUUUGGAGAUUUCACUCCUGGACCAGUGCCUCCCUCCACCCACAGCAAGUCCUGCUGUAACCCACGGGGCCACCCAGCAAAAGAGAAAGAUGCGCUUCAAGCUUUUUGCAGAGAUGCGGCGUCAGUAAGACCAGUGGCAUCACUCUCCGCAGAGUGUUCUGCCCGAGCCUGGAGAGGCGGCCGGCGUCCCGCGGAGCCCCCGCAGCGUGCUGGGAGCCGAGCAGAGCGGAGCGCUCGGUGGCAGUGGCCGUGCCCGUCCGCUUGGAGUCACUGCAGCACAGCACCUGCCCGCGGCCGAGCCUGCUGCUGCGCGUCACCGACAGUUCCUUUCGAAUUCAUUAGGUGAUGUGCUUGAGUUGAAACAGGGCCGUGAAAGCUACGUUUUGGCAGACAGUUGAGGAAUAUCUGUUUUCUUGUGCACACUGAAAUAAAAGCAAAGUGUUAGCUCAUUAGAAAAAGAAAUGGAAUUGGUUCAUUACUUCCUACCUGCAGUUAGGUGUGCACUUGUGAACUGUGCCACUGAAAAGCGGUGACUGCUCACACGCAUCCCUGUGUCUGUAGGCGUGCACUUCGGCAGGGCUGAGAGAGGAAAGGAAAUGGGGAAAGUGCAACCCUCUCAGUAUCGAAUGAAGAUCCCCCCAGAUGGGCAGAGACUGACAGAGUACAGCUGCUGGGAAAAGUACUGUCCUCAGGUUGUUAGCUAAGGGCAGCUAAUGGUGCAUUUUAUUUCGUAGAAUCAUAGAAUCACCAAGGUUGGAAAAGAUCUCCAAGAUCAUCCAGUCCAACCAUCCUCCUGUCACCAGU